AAUCUAACCUCAUAUAAACCCCAAAGGGUCAUCCUCUGAUCCCGCAUAAAACUCUAUCAGUGUCUCGCUCUUCUUUCCAAGAUAAGCGGCGGGAGAAGCAAGACGAGUCCCCUCGCGUCUUUCCCGUCAACGCAUAUCUUUCUUUGCUCCAAUCAAAGCUGUUGAUGGCGUCAAAGCUGCUGCAGUUUCAAUCUAAGGCCUCUGAAGCGUCGAAGCUUGUAGCCAAGCAUGGAACUUCUUACCACAAGUAGUUGUUGGAGCAGAACAAGCAAUACAUUCAGGAGCCACCAACAGUUGAAAAGUGCAGCGAGUUGUCUAAGCAGCUCUUUUACACCCGCCUUGCUAGUAUCCCUGGUCGUACUGAGUCAUUCUGAAAGGAGCUUGAUUAUGUGAAGAAUCUUUGGAAGAACAGGAAAGAACUGAAGGUUGAAGAUGCUGGUAUCGCAGCUUUGUUUGGAAGGUAUUUCAGGAAGUUGGAUGUAAAUGCCCUUAUCACUGUUCACAGAAUUGGAUUGUGGCCAACCCUUGAUGCAUAUAUUUCGUUGUUUUCAUGAAAUUUUUGAAGCUGAAAAAUAAGUGUUAAAUUGAUAGCCUAAA